UCUGCAAGGGGUGUGAGCUAGACGUGGUGGCAUGAAAAUCAGUGUUACCGCGGAUAUUCCGAUAAAAUAUAACGCCUGCCCCUUAGAAAUAUAGCAAAAUGAAAUACGAACUUAAACCACUUAAGCAUCCUCUAUUUUAACAGUAUUACAACUUGAGUAUAACCGCGGAAAAUAAUAAUAAAGAAGAAUAAAUAUUUUUGUAGAUCCAACCGACCAAAUCGUCUAUGUAGUAGAUACCUGGUUGGUGGGUUGGAUUUGGGUAUGUGUUUGCUAUGGAAGUCAUACUGUUUAGUCUUUUCAUUUGUCAAUGAAGAUCUGUGCAAUAUUUUAUUAUUAAUACCAAGGCCAGUUGGCAGAGAAACGGACAGACGGGCAUCGCUAGAUCAAAUCGCCCUUCAGGCCGAUCAGGAAUAUAAUUUCUUCGGCAACAACGUAACGGAAUGCCAAAAGCAAACACACAACUACAACAACAACAAACCUCUGCUCCGCUGCUCGCGUCUGUGGGAGUUUGUGCACUGCCGCUCGAUGAUGCCUCUUCUUUGAUGGUAAUGCCGGUCGCCUCGUUGGACAUCGUCUGCAAAGCUGUAAAGAUAAGAAAACAUAAGCCGCGCGAAAUUUGAGCCGGCCCCAAAAUAUAUAAGCACUUACAAAGUGUCGGCAACGGAAUGUGCACGAAAAGCAAAAUCACUCGAAACCCAGAAUCUCAAUCUAGAAUAUUCCCAAAGAACAACACUGCGAGGUUGUGACAAAAAAGUAUAAAAUCAAGCUGUAAAGUUUCGAAAUUACAAUUACCCGCGCGAAAUUCGAGCCACCACAAACAAACACUUACCAACUGCUUGCCGCCGCAAUGCGAAGAAAAGCAAAAAGCACUCGAAACUCGUCUUUACGGAAGAAACCGAACAGACCCAGAAGGAUCCAAUACAAACCGGCGAAGUUUUGGCGGAAAAAGAAAAUGG